ACCUUUUGUAUAAUGGGUCAGCGAGUUACUUUCAGUGGCGAGGUUAACUGAAUAAGGGAGCCGUAGAGAAAUCGAGUCUGAAUAGGGCGAUAGUCGCUGGGAGUAGACCCGAAACCGGGCGAUCUAGCCAUGUGCAGGAUGAAGGUUGGGUAACACCAACUGGAGGUCCGAACCGGGUAAUGUUGAAAAAUUAUCGGAUGACGUGUGGCUAGGAGUGAAAGGCUAAUCAAGCCCGGAGAUAGCUGGUUCUCCCCGAAAGCUAUUUAGGUAGCGCCUCGUGAAUGAUUACUGGGGGUAGAGCACUGUUUCGGCUAGGGGGCUGUCAUGGCUUACCAAACCGAUGCAAACUCCGAAUACCGGCUAAUUGAAUCACGGGAGACACACGGCGGGUGCUAACGUCCGUCGUGGAGAGGGAAACAACCCAGACCGCCAGCUAAGGUCCCCAAGUACUAGUUAAGUGGGAAACGAUGUGGGAAGGCAUAGACAGCCAGGAGGUUGGCUUAGAAGCAGCCACCCUUUAAAGAAAGCGUAAUAGCUCACUGGUCGAGUCGGCCUGCGCGGAAGAUGUAACGGGGCUAAAACUAGUCACCGAAGCUGCGGAUGUGCGCGAAGGCGCACGUGGUAGGGGAGCGUUCUGUAGGCUGAUGAAGGUGCAUUGAGAAGUGUGCUGGAGGUAUCAGAAGUGCGAAUGCUGACAUGAGUAACGAUAAUGUGGGUGAAAAGCCCACACGCCGGAAGUCCCAGGUUUCCUGCACGACGUUAAUCGGAGCAGGGUGAGUCGGCCCCUAAGGCGAGGCUGAAGAGCGUAGUCGAUGGGAACCAGGUUAAUAUUCCUGGACUUUUUAUAAGUGGUGAAGUGGGGACGAAGAAGGCUAGGUGAGCCAGGCGUUGGUUGUCCUGGUACUUGCAUGUAGGGGGGAAGACUUGGCAAAUCCGGUUUUCCAUAACUCUGAGGUGCGAAGUGGUUCUGACCUUUUGGUACAGAGAAGUCAUUGAUGCCCGGCUUCCAGGAAAAGCUGCUAGCCAUAACUUAUAGAGAACCGUACCGCAAACCGACACAGGUGGACAGGUAGAGAAUACUAAGGCGCUUGAGAGAACUCGGGUGAAGGAACUAGGCAAAAUGGUACCGUAACUUCGGGAGAA
rnacentral:rRNA from 1 species